AUGAACGCUGGCGGCGUGCCUAAUACAUGCAAGUCGAGCGAACAGAUCAGGAGCUUGCUCCUUUGACGUUAGCGGCGGACGGGUGAGUAACACGUGGGUAACCUACCUAUAAGACUGGGAUAACUUCGGGAAACCGGAGCUAAUACCGGAUAACAUUUGGAACCGCAUGGUUCUAAAGUGAAAGAUGGUUUUGCUAUCACUUAUAGAUGGACCCGCGCCGUAUUAGCUAGUUGGUAAGGUAACGGCUUACCAAGGCAACGAUACGUAGCCGACCUGAGAGGGUGAUCGGCCACACUGGAACUGAGACACGGUCCAGACUCCUACGGGAGGCAGCAGUAGGGAAUCUUCCGCAAUGGGCGAAAGCCUGACGGAGCAACGCCGCGUGAGUGAUGAAGGGUUUCGGCUCGUAAAACUCUGUUAUUAGGGAAGAACAAAUGUGUAAGUAACUGUGCACGUCUUGACGGUACCUAAUCAGAAAGCCACGGCUAACUACGUG
rnacentral:rRNA from 1 species